rnacentral:rRNA from 1 species
UACGUAGGGCGCAAGCGUUGUCCGGAAUUAUUGGGCGUAAAGAGCUCGUAGGCGGUCUGUCGCGUCUGUUGUGAAAAACUCGAGGCUCAACCUCGGGCUUGCAGUGGAUACGGGCAGACUAGAGUGCGGUAGGGGAGACUGGAAUUCCUGGUGUAGCGGUGAAAUGCGCAGAUAUCAGGAGGAACACCGAUGGCGAAGGCAGGUCUCUGGGCCAUAACUGACGCUGAGAAGCGAAAGCAUGGGGAGCGAACAGG